rnacentral:lncRNA from 1 species
UGGCUGACACAAAAUGGCUACUGAAAUUGUUUUCCUGACAAAAUCGCUGAUGCUUGUCAACUUUCACUGUGCGCAUAUGCUCCAAGUCAAUUUUAUUUCCAACCAAGGCCACAAGUGGCUGCAUUUCUGAUUCUUCAGUCACUUUUUUAACCACAUUAUACCAGUCCUCUAAAUUUUCAAAGCUCUGGCAGUUGGUAAUAUCAUACACCAAAAGAAUACCCUGAGCUCCAUAAAUAUAUUUAUCCAGCAUCUUGCCUCCUAUCGUUUGUCCCCC